UUAAAUUGAAGAGUUUGAUCAUGGCUCAGAUUGAACGCUGGCGGCAGGCCUAACACAUGCAAGUCGAACGGUAACAGGAAGCAGCUUGCUGCUUCGCUGACGAGUGGCGGACGGGUGAGUAAUGUCUGGGAAACUGCCUGAUGGAGGGGGAUAACUACUGGAAACGGUGGCUAAUACCGCAUAACGUCGCAAGACCAAAGAGGGGGACCUUCGGGCCUCUUGCCAUCAGAUGUGCCCAGAUGGGAUUAGCUAGUUGGUGAGGUAACGGCUCACCAAGGCGACGAUCCCUAGCUGGUCUGAGAGGAUGACCAGCCACACUGGAACUGAGACACGGUCCAGACUCCUACGGGAGGCAGCAGUGGGGAAUAUUGCACAAUGGGCGCAAGCCUGAUGCAGCCAUGCCGCGUGUAUGAAGAAGGCCUUCGGGUUGUAAAGUACUUUCAGCGGGGAGGAAGGUGUUGUGGUUAAUAACCACAGCAAUUGACGUUACCCGCAGAAGAAGCACCGGCUAACUCCGUGCCAGCAGCCGCGGUAAUACGGAGGGUGCAAGCGUUAAUCGGAAUUACUGGGCGUAAAGCGCACGCAGGCGGUCUGUCAAGUCGGAUGUGAAAUCCCCGGGCUCAACCUGGGAACUGCAUUCGAAACUGGCAGGCUUGAGUCUUGUAGAGGGGGGUAGAAUUCCAGGUGUAGCGGUGAAAUGCGUAGAGAUCUGGAGGAAUACCGGUGGCGAAGGCGGCCCCCUGGACAAAGACUGACGCUCAGGUGCGAAAGCGUGGGGAGCAAACAGGAUUAGAUACCCUGGUAGUCCACGCCGUAAACGAUGUCUACUUGGAGGUUGUGCCCUUGAGGCGUGGCUUCCGGAGCUAACGCGUUAAGUAGACCGCCUGGGGAGUACGGCCGCAAGGUUAAAACUCAAAUGAAUUGACGGGGGCCCGCACAAGCGGUGGAGCAUGUGGUUUAAUUCGAUGCAACGCGAAGAACCUUACCUGGUCUUGACAUCCACAGAACUUUCCAGAGAUGGAUUGGUGCCUUCGGGAACUGUGAGACAGGUGCUGCAUGGCUGUCGUCAGCUCGUGUUGUGAAAUGUUGGGUUAAGUCCCGCAACGAGCGCAACCCUUAUCCUUUGUUGCCAGCGGUCCGGCCGGGAACUCAAAGGAGACUGCCAGUGAUAAACUGGAGGAAGGUGGGGAUGACGUCAAGUCAUCAUGGCCCUUACGACCAGGGCUACACACGUGCUACAAUGGCGCAUACAAAGAGAAGCGACCUCGCGAGAGCAAGCGGACCUCAUAAAGUGCGUCGUAGUCCGGAUUGGAGUCUGCAACUCGACUCCAUGAAGUCGGAAUCGCUAGUAAUCGUGGAUCAGAAUGCCACGGUGAAUACGUUCCCGGGCCUUGUACACACCGCCCGUCACACCAUGGGAGUGGGUUGCAAAAGAAGUAGGUAGCUUAACCUUCGGGAGGGCGCUUACCACUUUGUGAUUCAUGACUGGGGUGAAGUCGUAACAAGGUAACCGUAGGGGAACCUGCGGUUGGAUCACCUCCUUACCUUAAAGAA
rnacentral:rRNA from 2 species